rnacentral:rRNA from 1 species
UACGAAGGGGGCUAGCGUUGUUCGGAAUCACUGGGCGUAAAGCGCCCGUAGGCGGAUCUUUAAGUCAGGGGUGAAAUCCCGAGGCUCAACCUCGGAACUGCCUUUGAUACUGGGGAUCUCGAGUCCGGGAGAGGUGAGUGGAACUGCGAGUGUAGAGGUGAAAUUCGUAGAUAUUCGCAAGAACACCAGUGGCGAAGGCGGCUCACUGGCCCGGAACUGACGCUGAGGUGCGAAAGCGUGGGGAGCAAACAGG